AGGGUGUAAACGCUGCAGACUUGGUGUUGGAGGCCCUUUGGGGGCAUUCAGUGCCGGAGAGAAGUUGUUAAGUCUGCUACUUGGGGAGUACGUCCGCAAGGAUGAAACUUAAAGGAAUUGGCGGGGGAGCACCGCAACGGGAGGAGCGUGCGGUUUAAUUGGAUUCAACACCGUAAACUCACCAGGGAAGACUGUUACAUGAAGGCCGAGAUGAAGACUCUGCUAGAUUUUCAGAGAGGAGGUGCAUGGCCGUCAGUGACU
rnacentral:rRNA from 1 species